GCCGGAGUGGCGAAAUGGUAUCCGCGCGCGACUCAAAAUCGCGUCCCGCAAGGGGUGGAGGUUCGACUCCUCUCUCCGGCA
rnacentral:tRNA from 1 species